AUAUAGUGACUUUAAUGCAUUUGAGUGAAGCAAAAAUGACAACAUCACAAAUCUUUGUCCUUAUGACUUUCAUGGUCUUCGCCUUUGCAUCACUAGGUGGGUAUUUUCUUUUAAUUGAAUUAGCAAAAGUUAGUACUAAAUUUAUAAUAUCAAAGCUCAUUUAUUUUUCUAAUCAAUGAAAAUAAUUAAUUAUGCCUGUAAACAUUUUUAAUUUCUACCAAAUUAGUGACGAUACUUCUCAUCAUGUUCUUUAAUUAAACUUAUAAUGUCAAACAUUUUUAGUGAUUAUGAUCAUUCAUUAAAAUUCAUUAUCCAGUGGAUUGUUUAAAACUAUUUUUUAAAAAAAAUAUUUAUUUAGAGGUGUUAGUGGUUUUCUUGUAACUUCUUGAAUUCAUCAAGCGAAAUACAUUUGUGAAUAAAUUGAAAAAUAUGAAGUAAACAAAAGAAUCUUCAUUUUGUUUGAUUUUAAUCGUUUUUGUUAAUGAAUCAUCAACUCUUAAUUUAAAUAUUUUUACUCAUGCAGAGUUGACAACUUGGCAUUGUUGGCUUUCUGUUCACGAAAAAUGACGAUGAUUGUCAAGUUCAGUGUAACAAAUAUCAUGACCGUGCAGCUUCCGUUAAAAGUCAAUGUGAAGCUCAAAUGAGUGUAUGUAGUUGUCAAACUUGUUCGUACUAACAAUAUAAUAAUUUAUUGUACUGUUAGUAUAUAAGUUAACCAGUUAAUUACAAUUUGUUAUUACUUUAUUUUCGAUGUUAUUGUAUUUAGAAAGCUUAGUAUAAGAAUUAUAUGUUAUCAUAAGUAGACUUAACUUAAUAGUGUGAUAAUCAAAGAGAAAAAUUAGAAUAAAAUAUGAUUUUUGUCGUCUUUCAUAAACCUUACAAUACCAAAGAAGAUUUAUUUUCAUACACUAAAUUUUUAUCCACUAAAUUUCUCCAUCUCAUAAUAAUAAAACAUUAUAUGUUGCAUUGUGACGAUCUCAAUUUACAUCUGACCGCACCUAGUCUUUAAGAAUAGGUAAGCUUAACAAAUAUGCGGAAGUAAAUGAAACAGUAAUUUAAAAAUAUCAAAACUCAACAACAUAUAAAAUUCUCUACAGCUCAAGGUGUAUACAAUAGCCCAAAACCCGACAUAAUACAAGUCGCAAGCUCUAUGACAAUAGCUAAAUAUUAAAAACAUUAAUUUUAUCCAAUGUAAAAUUUAUUUUAUAUGAUAAAAAGUUCGACCAAUUUUGCGUUAAAGUUUCGUGCUUUUAUAAUAGUCUGUAUUGAUUGAGAAGAGAAAAUUAAGAGAAACAUUAUUUUCCUACAUAUUUAGUAGUUUUUAGUUUUAUUUUCACAUUAUUUACCGCGUAAUUAUUAUAAAUGAAUAUACUUUGUUGCAAAUACUAAGUGAUUCUUCUAAAAAAUUACUCAUUGAUGUAAAAAAAUUAUUUUGUUCAUCAUGAUAAAGUACCAAUAGGAUGUUAUUUUCCAAUUUCCAUAUAAAAAUCACUUUAAGGUCAUUGCAUUUCAUAACAAAAAUUGAUUUUAUACAUAUAUAUAUAGAGAAGAAAGUAAGAUAAACAAGAACACUAAGUCUAAGGUUGUGGUUCCAGUAGUAGAAGGCACGAAAUUAUAUUGUCAUUGUUUGAUCCAUCAUCAUAUUUUUCACCAAACUUCUCCUCAAUUUCGAGGAGAAAAUGGAACAUGUAAUUCAUCAUCACAUUCUGACAUUUUAUUCGUGCAAUUUUGCUCAAAAGCGAUUCGUUGGUCUGAGACCCUGGUAUUUUCGAAUAAUGGGGAGCAUCCCGUUGUGCUGCUGGUAGCAAUGCUAUGAAUUUGAUCAGUCUUAUCCUCCACAGAGUCCAAUGAUGUGGUCGCUAAUAAUCUUUCUGGAUUAACAACUGAACCUUCGAUUCUGGUUUUCAUCUUGUGUCGCCAUCCAUGUAGCGAAUUCCUAACAUUCUCUAAAACAAUUGUCUUCUUGAAUCUGGAAUCCAUCUACUCGAUCAUCGUUGACUCAAGGAAUAGUGCAAAAGGAUAUAUAACCAAGUACAAAAGAAAGAGAUUACAUAGUGUUUUUUAGUUACCUAAGCAAAAAUAACAUUGAGUGGAAAUGUGACAAAGCUACACCAGAAUUGAGAAAUAACCCUACAGCGACAGGUUAACACGGGCCAUGCCACAAUGAGUGUAUUCAGCAACAAGGUAACAAGUAAGUGAGACAAAGAUAGGUACCCAAAUGACAAGAGAAUCACGAUAAAGGUUUGAUUUUUUGUGAAACAUGAUGAUCCCUUAAUUUUCCACUGCACUAGAAAAGGAAAUCAGGGUUAGCUCCUAUGGAGAGAAUUUUGUAUCCCUGCAAAAGAAAAUUACCGCUUUUUCCUUUUCUAAGUAUUAGGUGAAAAUAUAAAACAAACACAAACCACAUAUGAAACCUCUGCCUUUCUCUCUGUCAUAUUGUCUGACCCAAAACUCAAUAUAACUUUUUAGUUUGCUUUAAGAGUUAAAAAGUUAAAUAAAUAUUCUUUAGACUUGUAGAAGUUAUGUAGAGGCUUCCAAAAGGCAAAACUAUCAAGAGUGUAAAACAAGAUAAACACAAGGCAGAAGAUAUUACUCGCUCUGAUCACACAACGAUAUGUAGUCAAUGGAGGGUCUGUGAAUAAUAAUCAGUACCCGGAACUUACAUCUAUUGGUUGCAAAAGGGAAAAUAUUCCUAAUAAUUGUCUGCAGUAUCCCAACUAGGAAUAACGUUUCCUCAUAAGCAACUCUACUUCUUCCCAUUGACAAUAAGACAAAAUUGUUUUAAUUUAGUGUAAGCAACUCUACCUCAAUAAGAAAACUAAGUUCCUAAGUUCUUACUAGUAACCAAAUGUAUGUUGCCAUCUCAAAUGUGUUCUGUAUAUGAUUCAUACAGAAGAGCAAUCAAUAAGUCAUAUAUGAGGUAGCUAUAUCAUUGACCUAAAUUUAAUUAGAUGUAACGACCCGACCGAUCAUUUCAUGAGUUAUCGCUCUAUUUCUCCCAUUUCUCAUUCUUAUUGUCUUGUUCAGCUGUAUUAUGUGCUAGGGUUGGUUGGUUCGGGUUCGGAGAGGUUUUGGUAAGGUUUGAGACACUUAGUCUCUUUUAAGAAAGCUUAAGUUGGAAAUGUCAAUCGGAUGUUGACUUAUAUAAAAAAGGGCUCGGAUGUAAAUUUUGAUGGUUCAGAUACCUUCGAUUGGUGAUUUGGGACGUAGGAGCAUGAUCAGAAUGUGUUUUGGAGGUCCGGAGUAGAUUUAGGCUUGAAUUGGCGAAAUUGGAAUUUUUGCAUUUUCCGGUUGAUAGGUAAGAUUUUGAUAUAGGGGUGGGAAUGGAAUUCUGGAAGUUGGAGUAGGUCCUUUCCGUAAUUUUUGACGCGUGUGCAAAAUAUUAUGUCAUUCGGACGAGGGUUGAUAGACUUUUUGAUAGAAAGCGGAAUUUGGAAACGUUUUUGGAAUUUUUAGGCUUGAAUCCGAUGUCAAAUUGGUAUUUUGAUGUUUUUUUAGUGUUCCGGAGAUUGGAACAAGUUGUAAUGAUGUUAUGGGAUAUGUUGGUAUAUUUGGUUGGGGUCCCGAGGGCCUCGGGUGAGUUUCGGGUGGCUGAAAGGAUCAUUUCAUGUUGGAAAAAGUUGCAGAAAAACUGUUGUUGGUGUGGAAGGCUUUUGGCCUUCACGUUCACAAUGGAUGUCCCGUGUUCGCGAAGGGUUAGGAUGCGAGGCAGUAGAGUUGGCCUUCGCAUUCGCAAAGGUGGUCCCGCAUUCGCGAAGGGCUAAGGUUAGUGGUCAUCCCAUUCGCGAGGGUAUUGCCGCGUUAACGAUGAGUUGAGAAGCUAAGGCUUCGUGUUCGCGUGCAUAGGUCGCAUUCGCGAUGAAGGAAAGGUGGUCAACAUAAGUUUUUUCUUCAUGAACGCGAGGCGUUGACCGCGUUCGCAAAGAAGGAUCGUGAUGUAACGACCCGACUUGUCGUUUUGUCUUUUAGAACCUCGUUCCCUUGUAUAAAUCUUCUCGUGCUUGCUUUGACUAAUUUAUGAAGUAUGGGGAUGGUGGGUUCGGGAUUUGGAAGAGUUUGGAGUGAAAUAUGCCUAUUUGAUUCCUUAGGAUUUUCUUAAAAGGCUAUUUGACUUUGGUUAAUAUUUUAAGCAAACAGGCCCAGAUUUGUGAUUUGACGGUCCCGGAGAGUCCGUAGGAAAUUAUGGGAUCUCGGCUUAUGCUCGGAAUCGAAUUCCGAGGUCUCUAGCCCGAGUAAUGAAUUUUUAUUGGAAAUUGUUAAUCUGAAGUUUUAAAUAUUUAAAGAAACUAACUAAUGAUUGAUUCCAUGGGUAUCGGGCUCGUAUGUUGGUUCUAAAGUGCAUUAGAGGUCUGAUAUAUCAUUUAAGGCUCGCCCGUAAAAUUUGGUGUCAAUCCGAAUAGUUUAAGAGCAUUUGGCCCAUUAGAGGAAAAUUAAGAAUUUGAAGUUCAUAAGUUUGAUUCAAUUGGUUUUAGGGGGUGAUUAAGUUUGAUUCAUAAGUUCAUAACUAAUUAAGUUCACUCCUCCAUUGGCGAUUUUGGGAGCUUUUGCAAGAGGGCUUCUACUUGGCAUCUUGAGGUAAGCUUACGCCACCUAUUCUUAGUUUAACACUUGUAUUUUAGGUAGAUUAAGCACUAGGGUUAAAGUAAAAUAUGAGGUUAGAGCGAGACCUAGGGUUUUAAUAAAACUUAGAUUUUACUACGAAAUUUGUUAUGGAAUGAAUUAGAAAUCAUAUAUUACCGAAUCUUAGGUUAUAGAGAACAACUUCCUUCGAAAAAUUUCGGAAUCCAGGCACGUAGGCCCGGGCUCAGAUUUUAGGAAACUUGUGUUAAAGGUUGGAAAAUUGCUUAAAUAGCUAGAAUUCAAUCUUGUGAGUCUAUAUUGACUAGUUCUUACUUUAUUUAACUAGUUUGAGAUCGUUCGACUCCGAAUUGAGGGCUUGGACUCGUUCUUGGUAUUGGAAGUGCACUUUGGAGCGAGGUGAGUCUCUUUACUAACCUUGUAAGAGGGAAUUGUCCCCAUAGGUGUAAUAAUUGAAUUAAUUGGUAUUAUAUGCGGGGGCUACGUACGCACUAGGUGACGAAAGUCUAUGCGUAGCUACUAUUAUGUUAAGUCUGAGUAGUCUAAGACCCAAAAGCAUGCUCUACGUGGUAGUCUUGUAACUUGAUGAUAAAUUUGGAUUAGUAUAAAUCAUGUUGAUUAAGGAAUAUAAGAGUAUUAGAGGAACCUUAUCUUGCUUGGUCUUUUAAAAGAGGAUUUGAAUAUUCCUGUGAACAACUACUCCUCAGAUAUACAUUAUUGUCUGUUUGUUGAUGAGUUAUUUAUAUUUGACCGUGUUGCACGUGUGAUUCGCGAUCGGGGUAAUAAAUGCAUCUAUGGUUCGAGCCGUUCGACCCUUAGCAGUGCACAAUUUACAUUUAUGUUGGAUCGGGCUGUACGUCCCUCGAUGUUGCUUGCACAUGCUUUACUUAGUAUUUCUCUGUGGACUGAACUUCAUAUAUGCCUUGAAACGUAAAUGGAUACCCAUGAUAUUAUAUGGAAAAGAAUUGUCAUUCCUUUCCAUACAAUGCUAAUAAAAUUGAGCUAUCCAUGCUUAUUACAGAUUCUUUCUCAUAUUAUUUGACCCUAGUAAGUAUCAAGUCGACCUCUCGUCUCUACUUCUUCGAGAUUAGAUGGGAUACUUACUGGGUACAUAUUGUUUAUGUACUCAUACUACACUUUUGUACUUAAUUGUACAGGAUCUGAGACAGGUGUAUCUGGCUAUCAGUCUAGUGCGCAUCCCUUAGCGGAUUUUGAGACUUCCAGGGUGAGCUGCUCCCUUUCUGUGCCGUUCAGCAGCUUGAUGGGGUCUUUCCUUACUUUUGCUGUCUAUUCUAUACCGGACAGUAGGAUAGUAUUAUUCUUUUGUACAUUCUACUAGUUGCCCACUACUCGUGAUACCAGGUCUUGGCACACACAUUAGUAGACAGUUCUUUUGGGUUGUAUAAUUAUUAUUACAUAUUGUUUAUAAUCACCUAUUUUCAAUUGAAAAUUAAAAAAUGUUGUAACCACUUCGGGUAAGUAAAAUAUGAAUUUACUAAUACUUCCGCAUUGGCUUGCCUGACAACGGUGUUGGCCGCCAUCACGACCCCUGGUGGAUUUUGGGUUGUGACAAUGUGGUAUCAGGGCACUAGGUUAAUGUAGGUCUCACAAGUCAUGGACAAACCUAAUAUAGUCUUGUGGAUCGGUACGGGGACGUCUGUAUUUAUCUUCGAGAGGCUAUAGGGUAUUAAGAAAACUACUCUUUAUUAAUUUCCUAUAGUGCAGUGGUUGGUGUGCUAAAUUUCCCUGUUUAUUCUCUCACAGAUGGUGAGUACAAGCACAACUAAUAUUCCAGACCCAGCGGAGCUGCUUCCCCUAUUGCUAGAGGCCGAGGUAUAGGCUGGGGGAGGGCACUGACCCGAGGUAGGGGACGAGGGCGUCCCAGAGUUAUCCUAGUAGUAGAACCAGCAGAUCCCGCGAGAGAUCCUAUCAUCAAGGAACAGGGCGAGGUUCCCGCAGCUGAGCCCACCCCAGCGGACUUUAUCACAGCGCCAGGAUUCUAGGAGGUCAUGGGCCGUAUACUGUAGUUCAUGGAUUCUAUGACUUACGCUGGUUUAUUUCCAGCAGAUCCAGCUACAUCACAGGCAAGAGGGGGAGCACAGGCCCCUACUUCUCAGGCUCCUGGACAUGAAGCUGCAGUGUAUCAAACUCCGGGUGCACUACCUGUAGAUGAGGCUCCGCCAGUUGCUGCAGCGGCACCCUAGCCCAGACCAGCUGUGGAUUGUGAUCCGCAGAAGUUGUUGGAUAGUUGGACUAGGCUUCACCCUCCUGUCUUCAGGGGCGAGCGUCAUGAGGAUGCACAAUACUUCAUAGAUAGGUACAAGGACAAACUGCACAAUAUGAGGAUGUUGGAGUCGCACAGAGUUGACUUCACUACUUUUCAGCUUGAGGGCAGGGCCUGUAAAUGGUGGCAGUACUAUGUUCUAGGUAGGCCAACAGGUUCUCCUCCCAUCACUUGGGGUCAGUUCGCACAGUUGUUCUUGUAUAGGUACAUUCCACCCUCUAAUAGGGAAGAGCUACGAUAUUAUUUUAGGCAUCUGGAGCAGGGUUUGAUGUCUGUGACCGAUUAUGAGGUGAGGUUUUCUGAGUUGUCUUGCCAUGCACUCAUGAUACUUCCCACAGAUACAGAGAGAGUGCGGAGAUUUGUUGCCAGGUUGCACCCCAGUAUUCGAGCUGGCAUGGCCCGAGAGGUGGAGAUGGGUACUGAGUAUCAACUAGUGGUAGAGAUUGCUCGCAGGAUUGAGGGGUAGAGAGCAGAUUUAGCAGGACAAGAGGGCCUGAUUUUCAGGAGAGUUCGGAGGCGCCCCAGAUCGGGGUAGAGGUCACUUUGGGAGGGGUCAGCCCAGUAGACCCCCAUAUUUAGCACCGCCACCCCCUCCCCGAGGUGCUCCAGUGAGGCCUUAUUUCAGUGCGAUGCCGUAGAGUUCAUAUCGACCACCAGUUAUUCAGGGUUCCUCUAGCGGGUAUUCUGGUCAUCAGGAUUCUUCCAGGGCUCACUUCAGUGUCGUGCCAGAGAGUUCAUAUCGCCCACCAGCCAUCAAAGGUCCCUCUAGUGGGUAUUCGGGUCAGCAGGCUCAGACUUCAGGGCAGCAGGCUAUGGUACCGAGAGCGUGCUACGAGUGUGGAGAUCCGGGUCACAUGAAGAGGACCUGCCCCAGACUUCGGGGCAAGGCAGUGCAGCAGUGUCAGUAACCUAUGAUUUAAGCACUGGCUGCCCCACCACCUAGGGGUGGAGGGCAGAUGGGUAAGGGCCGUCCUACAGGUGGAGGCCAGGUAGGGAGAGGUCAGCCAACUACUGCUCAGUCCGGUGGAGGCCAGCCAGCCGACGCUCCAGCCAGAUUAUAUGCCCUUCUGACCAGGCCAGAUGCAUUGGCCUCAGAUGCAAUCAUCACAGGUAUUAUUUUCGUUGUCGGUAGAGAUGCUUCAGUAUUAUUUGAUCCAGGGUGUACUUAUUCAUAUGUAUCAUCUCUGUUUGCUCGUUUCCUGGUUAUUUCUCCUGAGCCUUUAAGCACUCAUGUUCAUGUGUCUACUCAUGUAGGUGAUUCUACGAUUGUGGAUCGGAUCUACCGGUCUUAUGUGGUUACACUUUGUGGUUUCAAAACUAGAUCAGAUCUCUUGUUGCUUGAUAUAAUCGAUUUUGAGAUCAUCCUGCGCUUGGAUUGGUUCUCUCCUUAUCACGUCGUCCUAGAUUGCCAUGCCAAAACUGUUACUUUAGCGAUGCCAGAGUUACCGAGGUUGGAGUGGAAGGGUUCCACUGUUGAUACAUCUAGUCGGGUUAUUUCUUUCCUGAAGGCCCAGCUAAUGGUCGAGAAGGGGUGUUUGGCUUAUUUGGCUUAUGUUUGAGACACCACCGUAGAGUCUCCGACGAUUGAUUCAGUUCCAGUAGUUCAAGAGUUUGUUGAUGUGUUUCCUUUUGAUCUACCUAGAAUGCCACCAGAUCAUGAUAUUUAUUUCUGCAUUGAUUUGGCUCCAGGCACCCAGCCUGUAUCUAUCCCACCAUACCGUACAGCUCCGAAAUAGUUGAAAGAGUUGAAGGAGCAUCUUGGGGAGUUGUUAGCAAAGGGGUUUGUCAUACCCAAUGUAUCCCCUUAGGGUCCACCAAUGUUAUUUUUGAAGAAGAAGGAUGGAAUUAUGCGGAUGUGCAUUGAUUAUCGCCAUUUGAACAAAGUCACCAUCAAGAACAAGUAUCUGUUGCCUCAUAUUGAUGAUUUGUUCGACCAGUUGCAGGGUGCUAGGGUGUUAUCAAAGAUUGACUUGAGGUCAGGGUAUCAUCAGUUGAAGAUUUAGGACUCGAAUGUUCCGAAGACUGCAUGCCAUACUAGAUAUGACCACUUUGAGUUCCUGGUGAUGUCCUUUGGCUUGACUAAUGCCCCAACAGCAUGCAUGGACUUGAUGAGCAGGGUAUUCAGGCCUUAUAUUGAUUCAUUUGUCGUCGUCUUCAUUGACGACAUCUUGAUAUACUCUCAUAGCCUAGGGGAGCACGAGCAGCAUUUGAGGGUAGUGCUUCAGACCUUGCGAGAGCAAAAGCUAUAUGCUAAGUUCUCCAAGUGUGAGUUCUGGCUAGAGUGAGUGGCAUUCUUGGGUCAUAUUGUGUUAGGAGAGGGUAUUAAGGUGGACCCCAAGAAGAUUAAGGCAGUUCAGAGUUGGCCACGUUCUACUCCGGUGACCGAGAUUAGGAGUUUUCUGGGGUUAACAAGUUACUACAGACGAUUCGUGUAGGGCUUUUCAUCUAUUGAAUCACCUCUGACUAGAUUGACCCAUAAGGGUGCUCCUUUCCAAUGGUCCGAUGAUUGUGAGGUGAGCUUUCAGAAGCUCAAGGCAGCCUUGACUACAACACCAUUCCUAGUAUUGCCUUCCGAUUCAGGGAUGUAUACGAUAUAUUGCGAUGCUUCUUGUGUUGGAUUGGGGUGUGUAUUGAUGUAGGAGGGGCGAGUUAUUGCAUAUGCCUCACGCCAGCUGAAGGUUCAUGAAAAGAAUUACCAUGUGCACGAUCUAGAGUUGGCCGCGAUUGUUCAUGCUCAUAAGAUAUAGAGGCAUUAUCUAUAUGGGGUGUCAUGUGAGAUUUAUACAGAUCAUUGCAUCUUACAACAUUUGUUCAAACAUAGGGAUCUUAAUUUGAGGCAGGGUAGGUGGCUUGAGUUACUGAAGGAUUAUGACAUCACCAUUCUUUAUCAUCCAGGCAAGGCUAAUGUGGUCGCGAAUGCCUUAAGCUGGAAGGAAGAGAGUAUGGGUAGCUUGGCAUUCAUUCCAGCGGAAGAGAGGACACUAGCCUAGGACAUUCAUUCCUUGGUUAACAGACUUGUGAGAUUGGAUAUUUCAGAGCAAAGCCGAGUUCUUACGUGUAUGGUUGCUCAGUAUUCAUUAUUGGGGCAGAUCAAGGCCCGGCAGUUCGAUGAUCCACAUUUGGUGGUUCUCAGAAAGACGGUGCUUUAGGAAGGUGCCAAGGAGGUUUCUAUUAGUGAGGAUGGUGUUUUGCGACUCCAGGGUCGUCUAUGUGUUCCUAAUGUCGAUGGUUUGAGGGAGAGGAUUCUAGAAGAGGCACACAGUUUGCGGUAUACCAUCCAUUCGGGAGCUACAAAGAUGUAUCGUGACUUGAGACAAUAUUAUGGGUGGCGGAGGAUGAAGAAGGACAUAGUGGAGUAUGUGGCUAGGUGUCUGAAUUGCUAGCAGGUCAAGUAUGAAUACCAGAGGCCGGGUGUCCUACUUCAGCAGAUGCCUAUACCAAAGUGGAGUGGGAGAGCAUUACCAUGGAUUUCGUAGUUGGGUUACUGCAAACUUUGCGGAAGUUUGAUUCAGUGUGAGUCAUUGUCGACAGAUUGACCAAGUCGGCAUACUUAUACCGGUGGUGACUACUUAUACUUUGGAGAGACUAGCUCAGAUUUACAUUUGAGAGAUAGUCCGGUUGCACGGUGUGCCUGUUUCUAUCAUAUCAGAUAAAGACCCUCAGUUCACUUCGCAUUUUUGGAGAGCUGUUCAGCGUGAGCUGGGGACCCGCAUGGAGCUUAGCACGACAUUUCAUCCAAGGACCGACGGGCAGUUGGAGCGGAUAUUUCAGAUUUUUGAGGACAUACUCAGAGCAUAUGUGAUUGACUUUGGAGGGCAGUGGGAUCAGUUCUUGCCCUUGGCGGAGUUUGCAUACAAAAACAUCUAUCAGUCCAUCAUAGAGAUAGCUCCAUACGAGGCUUUAUAUGGUCAAUGUUGUCGUUCUCCUAUCGGGUGGUUUGAUCCUGGUGAGGCUAAUUUAUACGGUACAGAUUUCGUAUGGGAUGCCUUAGACAAGGUAAAGUUGAUUCAGGAAAGGUUUCGCAUAGCUCAGUUCAGAUGGAAGAGCUACGCGGAUCAGAAGGCGCGUGAUGUAUCAUUCAUGGUUGGCGAGAAGGUCCUCUUGAAAGUCUCGCCAAUGAAGGGCAUUAUGAGAUUUGGGAAGAAAGGCAAGCUGAGCCCAAGAUUUAUUGGCCCAUUUGAGGUGUUGAGGCGAGUUGGGGAGGUUGCUCACGAGCUUGCAUUACCCCCCAGCUUAUCGGGAGUUCAUCUGACUUUUCAUGUAUCGAUGCUUCGAAAGUAUCAUGCCGACCUGUCCCAUGUGUUAGACUUCAGUACUAUUCAGUCGGAUGAGAGUUUGGGUUAUCAGGCGGAGCUAGUUGCAAUUACUGAUAGACAGGAUCGCAGUUGAGGUCCAAGAGGAUUUCUGCGGUGAGAGUCCAGUGGAGGGGCCAACCAGUCGAGGAGGCGACCUGGGAGUUCGAGGAGGACAUGCGGAGCAGAUAUCCACAUUUAUUCAGCAGCUCAGGUACUUUUUUAUGUUCGUUCGAGGACAUACGUUUGUUUAAGAGGUGGAGAGUGUAACGACCCGAUAGGUCGUUUUGCCUUUUAGAACCUCGUUCCCUUGAAUAAAACUUUUCGUGCUUGCUUUAACUAAUUUAGGACUUGCGGAGAUGGUGGGUUCAGGAUUUGGAAGAGUUUGGAGUGAAAUAUGCCCAUUUGAUUCCUUAGGAUUUUCUUAAAAGGCUAAGUUUGACUUUGGUCAAUAUUUUGAGCAAACGGAUCCUGAUUCAUGAUUUGACGGUCCCGGAGGGUUGUAGGAAAAUAUGGGACCUAGGCAUAUGUUCGGAAUCGAAUUCUGAGGUCUCUAGCCCGAGUAAUAAAUUUUUAUUAGAAAUUGUUAAUCUGAAGUUUUAAAUAUUUAAAGAAACUAAUUAAUGAUUGAUUCCAGGGGUAUCCGGCUCGUAUGUUGGUUCUGAAGCCCGCUAUAGGUCUGAUAUAUCAUUUAAGGAUCGCCCAUAAAAUUUGGUGUCAAUCCGAGUAGUUUAAGGGCGUUUUGGCCCGUUAGAGGAAAAUUAAGAACUUGAAGUUCAUAAGUUUGAUUCAAUUGGUUUUAGGGGUGAUUCUUAGAUUUAGCGUUGUUUCAGGCAUUCCGAAGGUUCGAGUAGGUUUGUUUCGUGAUUUCAGACUUGACGUUAUUUUCGGGCGGUGCCCGGGAGCCCCGAGCGUCAAUCGGGCGAGGCUCGAGUGAAGUAGAAAUUUUUGAGAAGUGUUGAAGUUGUUGCUUCUGUCAUAACCGCACCUGCGGUUGGUGGACCGCAGAUGCGGUCUAUCUAUCGCAGAUGCGGCCCAAGGAAGGUCAGGACAAACUGCAGAAGCGGCUCUUGAACCGCAAAAGCGACCUCAAGACCGCAAAGUGGUCCCAGCCCUUUUAGCCCCUUUUUGUAGAUGUGGUCCCUUCUUACAGAUGCGGGACCGCAGAUGCGGUCCUCUGACCGCAGAUGUAGGAAUUGCUGAAGCAGUGAGGUUCAUUUAAUACGGGUUCUAAGUCAUUUUCGACACUUUUUACUCCUCCAUUGGCGAUUUUGGGAGCUUUUGGAAGAGGGUUUGUGUUUGACACUUGUGUUUUAGGUAGAUUAAAUACUAGGGUUAAGAUAAAAUCAUGGGGUUAGAGCUAGACCUAGGGUUUUAAUAAAACUUAGAUUUUACCACGAAAUUUGUUAUGGACUGAAUUAGAAAUCAUAUAUUAUUGAUCUUUAGGUUAUAGAGAAUAACUUCCUUCGAAAAAUUUCGGAAUCCGGGUACGUGGGCCCGGUGUCAGAUUUUAGGAACCUUGUGAUAAAGGUUGGGAAAUUGCUUAAAUAGCUAGAAUUCAAUCUUGUGAGUCUAUAUUGACUAAUUCCUACCUCAUUUAACUAGUUUGGGAUUGUUCGAAUCUGAAUUAAGAGCUUGGACUCGUUCUUGGUAUUGGAAGUACACUUUGGAGCGAGGUGUGUCUCCUUUCUAACCUUGUAAGAGGGAAUUGUCCCCAUAGGUGUAAUAAUUGAAUUAAUUGCUAUUAUAUGCGGGGGCUACGUACGCACUAGGUAACGAGAGUCCGUGCAUAGCUACUAUUAUAUUAAGUCUGGGUAGUCUAGGACCCAAAAGCAUGAUCUACGUGGUAUUCUUGUAACUUGAUGAUAAAUUUGGAUUCAUAUAAAUCAUGUUGAUUAAGGUAAAUAAGACUAGUAGAGGAACCUUACCUUACUUGGUCUUUUAAAAGAGGAUUUGAAUAUUCCUGCGAACAACUACUCCUAAGAUAUACAUUAUUAUCUGCUUGUUGAUGAGUUAUUUAUAUUUGACCGCGUCGCACGUGUGAUUGGCGAGCGGGGUAAUAGAUGCAUCUAUGGUUUGAUCCAUUUGAUCCUCGAUAGUGCACAAUUUACUUUUAUGUUGGGUCGGGCCGUACGUCCCUCGGUGUUGCUUGCACAUGCUUUACUUAGUAUUUAUCUAUGGACUGAACUUCAUAUAUGCCUUGAAACGUAAAUGGAUAACCAUGAUAUUAUUUGGAAAAAUAAUUGUUAUUCCUUGCCAUACAAUGCUAAUAAAUUGUAUUAUUCAUGCUUAUUACAGAUUCUUUCUCAUAUUAAUUGACCCUAGUAAGUAUCAAGUCGACCUCUCAUCUCUACUUCUUCAAGAUUAGACGGGAUACUUACUGGGUACAUAUUAUUUAUGUACUCAUACUACACUUCUAUACUUAAUUGUACAGGAUUUGAGACAGGUAUAUCUGGCUAUCAGUCUAGUGCGCAUCCCUGAGCGGAUUUCGAGAGUUCCACGGUGAGCUGCUCCCUUCCUGUGUCGUUCAGUAGCUUGAUGGGGUCUUUCAUUACUUUUGUUGUCUAUUCUAUCUCGGACAGUAGGAUAGUAUUAGUCUUUUGUACAUUCUACUAGUUGCCCACUACUUGUGACACCAGGUCUUGGCACACACAUUAGUAGACAGUUCUUUUGGGUUGUAUAAUUAUUAUUACAUAUUGCUUAUCAUCACCUGCUUUCAAUUGCAAAAUGUUGUAACCGCUUCGGGUAAGUAAAAUAAGAAUUUACUAAUACUUCCGCGUUGGCUUGCCUGACAAUAGUGUUGGGCGCCAUCACGACCCUUGGUGGAUUUUGGGUCGUGAUACGUGUAUAGCUGGGCCGAAUGAUUAAAAUACCAUAUCCGCAAUUUUGGGACUAUGUUUCACCAUUGUUGAGAGAUUUUGGAGCUUUUUGAAAGAGAUUGAAGAGCGAAUCAAGGGGAAACACUUGGAGGUAAGAUUUAUGGACUUAAUACUCGAUCCUAAUGUGAUUUCUACCUAAUUAAACAUGGGAAUUGUGGAAUCUAAAGCCUAAAAUUAGAAGAUAGGGCUUGAAAAUUGGAGACCUAAAUCUAGGAAUUUGAUGGGUCAUUUGUGGUCGGAUUUUGAUGUAUUUGAUAUGUAUGAACUCGUGAGAGUGUAAGGAUUAUAGUUUUGUGAUUUUUAUCGGAAUCGGAGGCGUGGGGUCGGGGGUCGGGUUUGGCCAAUUUCGAGAUUUUUGAUGUAAAUUCGUUAUUCUCGAGUGAGCUUUGUUCCCUUAGUAUAUUUUGAUGGUAUAAAACUAUUUUUGAUUAGAUUUGGAGUAUUCGGAGGCCGAUUCGAGAGGCAAAAGAAUCGCGGGCUAGAGUUUGGACCAGAUAGAGGUAAGUAAUGAUUGUAAAUGCUGUCCUGAGAGUAUGAAACCCCGAAUUUUACAUCGUUGUGAUACUUUGAUCGGAAUGUGUUUUCCCCGUUGCAUUGCUUGAAAAAAUUUGCAUGUCAUUUGUAAAUUUUAUUUUCAAAAUUAAACUCAUUCUUUAUGUUUGAUAUAUCGUUUUAAUAUCAAAAUUUGAAAAAAUCAGAAACAGAAAAAGUGAAAAAAGAAAAGGAUGAUCAAGACAAGUCUUCUACUAUUAUGAAGGCGUUACGUAAUAUAAUUAAGAUAAAAUUCCUUAGAUAUAUUAUCAUAUGUAAGUGGUUUUUAUUAUUUCAUGGUGGCUUCUCGAUAUAUAGAAAUUUAUAAAAUAUAUUUUUAAUUUAUACUGGAUGAUAAAUUUUGAUUAUUCAAAUCAUCAUGUAAACANNNNNNNNNNNNNNNNNNNNNNNNNNNNNNNNNNNNNNNNNNNNNNNNNNNNNNNNNNNNNNNNNNNNNNNNNNNNNNNNNNNNNNNNNNNNNNNNNNNNNNNNNNNNNNNNNNNNNNNNNNNNNNNNNNNNNNNNNNNNNNNNNNNNNNNNNNNNNNNNNNNNNNNNNNNNNNNNNNNNNNNNNNNNNNNNNNNNNNNNNNNNNNNNNNNNNNNNNNNNNNNNNNNNNNNNNNNNNNNNNNNNNNNNNNNNNNNNNNNNNNNNNNNNNNNNNNNNNNNNNNNNNNNNNNNNNNNNNNNNNNNNNNNNNNNNNNNNNNNNNNNNNNNNNNNNNNNNNNNNNNNNNNNNNNNNNNNNNNNNNNNNNNNNNNNNNNNNNNNNNNNNNNNNNNNNNNNNNNNNNNNNNNNNNNNNNNNNNNNNNNNNNNNNNNNNNNNNNNNNNNNNNNNNNNNNNNNNNNNNNNNNNNNNNNNNNNNNNNNNNNNNNNNNNNNNNNNNNNNNNNNNNNNNNNNNNNNAUCAAAUAUUUUUAACAUUGUUUUCUUUCCAAAUGGAAUAAAAUAACUCUUUUGAAUGAAAGGAAAUAUUGCAAAGGCACAACACCGGAACUCUCGUUGGAAAAAUAGUAUUGCUUUCACAUUCUUUAUAUGAAAAAAUUAUAUGGUUUAGCUAACUUAUAUAUUGUAUUUAUCAUUAAUAGCUAUACUUUUAAAAAAUUCCUAUGCAUAGCGAUAUUUGAAUGUUAUAGCAAAAUUACUUGUAGUACUGAAACAAGAGAUCAAUUAUUUUGAACUGAACGCUAACAACAUAAGCUCUCGUAAAUCAGUUGGAUAGAACACCCGUUUAGUAAGAGGGAGGUGUUGAGGUUGACUCUCAUCGUGAGCAUUUUGUUUCUUAAUUUUUUUGUAUUUCUGUAUUUUGCCUUGGUUGUACGCAUUGCAGAAUACAGGUUAUAUUUGUUGCGCUAAAUAUUAAUUAGGCAAACUAUAGUUACGUAUGGUAAUGAAACUCUAAAGUAUAGUGUUUUGUGAAAAUUCCUUUAUUAUCAUCAUAGUUCUUUAUUGUUCGAGUGACAUCAAAUAAAAAAGAAACUGAAGAUUAAUUAGAAGAAUUUAAUGCUUAGAAUUUAAUUUUGCAAGUAACGGGUUCAUGGGAAAAACGCAUGAAACAGUUGCUAUAAAAAUAUUCAGAAACAUACUACUUCUUUAAUCCCCCUUAUUCAUAUAGUGACUUUAAUGCAUUUGAGUGAAGCAAAAAUGACAUCAUCACAAAUCUUUGUCCUUAUGACUUUUAUGGUCUUCGCCUUUGCAUCACUAGGUGGGUAUUUUCUUUUAAUUGAAUUAGCAAAAGUUAGUACUAAAUUUAUAAUAUCAAACUUAUUUAUUUUUCUAAUCAAUAAAAAUAAUUAAUUAUGCCUGUAAACAUUUUUAAUUUCUACCAAAUUAAUGACGAUACUUCUCAGCAUGUUCUUUAAUUAAACUUAUAAUGUCAAACAUUUUUAAUGAUUAUGAUCAUUCGCUAAAAUUCAUUAUCCAAUGGAUUGUUUAAAACUAUUUUUUAAAAACAAAGUAUUUAGAGGAGUUAGUGGUUUUCAUGUAACUUCUUGAAUUCAUUAAGCGAAUUAUAUUUGUGAAUAAAUUGAAAAAUAUGAAGUAAACAAAAGAAUCUUCAUUUUGUUUGAUUUUAAUAGUUUUUGUUAAUGAAUCAUCAACUCUUAAUUUAAAUAUUUUAACUCAUGCAGAGUUGACAGUUGGGCAAUGUUGGCUUUUUGUUCAUGAAGAUUGGGGAUCCUGUACAAGUGACGACGAUUGUCAGGUUCAGUGUAACAAAUAUCAUGACCGUGCUGCUUCUGUUAAAGGUCAAUGUGAAGCUCAAAUGAGCGUAUGUAGUUGUCAAGCUUGUUCGUACUAACAAUAUAAUAAUUUAUUGUACUGUUGGUAUAUAAGUUAACCAGUUAAUUACAAUUUAUUAUUACUUUAUUUUCGAUGUUAUUGUAUUUAAAAUGCUUAUUAUAAAAAUCACAUGUUAUCAUAAGUAGACUUAACUUAAUAGUGUGAUAAUCAAAGAGAUAAAUAGAAUAAAAUAUGAUUUUUGUCGUAUUUCAUAAACCUUACAAUACAAGGAAGAUUUAUUUUCAUACACUAAAUUUUUAUCCAUUAAAUUUCUCCAUCUCAUAAUAAUAAAACAUUAUAUGUUGCAUUGUGACGAUCUCAAUUUCCCUCUGAUUGCACCUAAUCUAUAAGACUAAGUAAGCUUAACAAAUAUGCGGAAGUAAAUGAAACAGUAAUUUAAAAAUAUCAAAACUCAACAACAUAUAUAAACGGAAAAUUCUCUACAGCUCAAAGUGUAUACAAUAUCCCAAAACCCGACAUAAUACAAGUCGCAAGAUCUAUGACAAUAGCUAAAUAUUAAAAAUAUUAAGUUUAUCCAAUGUAAAAUUUAUUUUAUAUGAUAAAAAGGUCGACCAAUUAUGCAUUAUAGUUUCGUGCUUUUAUAAUAGUCUAGAUUGAUUGAGAAGAGAAAAUUAAGAGAAACGUUAUUUUCCUAUAUAUUUAGUAGUUUUUAGUUUUAGUUUCACAUUAUUUACCACGUAAUUAUUAUAAACUAAUAUACUUUGUUGCAAAUACUAAGUGAUUCUUCUAAAAAAUUACUCAUUGAUGUAAAACAAUUAUUUUGUUCAUCAUGAUAAAGUACCAAUAGGAUGUCAUUUUCCAAUUUCCAUAUAGAAAUCAAUUUAAGGUCAUUGUAUUCCGUAACAAAGAUUGAUUAUAUAUAUAUAUAUAUAUAUAUAUAUAUAGAUAGAUAGAUAGAUAGAAAGCAAAAUAAACAAGAAGACUAAGUCUAAGGUUGUGGUUUUAGUAGUAGAAGGCACGAAAUUAUAUUGUCAUUGUUUGAUCCAUCAUCAUAUUUUACACCAAACCUCUCGUCAAUUUCUAGGAGAAAAUGGAACAUGUAACUCAUCAUCACAUUCUGAGAUUUCAUUCGUGCAAUUUUACUCAAAAGCGAUUUGUUGGCCUGAGACCCUGGUAUUUUCGAAUAAUAGGGAGCAUCCCGCUGUGUUGUUGGUAGUAAUGCUAUGAAUUUGAUCUGUCUCAUACUCCACAGAGUCCAAUGAUGUGAUCGCUAAUAAUCUUUCUGGAUUAACAACUGAACCUUCGAGUCUGGUUUUCACCUUGCAUCGCCAUCCAUGUAGCGACUUCCUAAUAUUCUCUGAAAUAAUUGUCUUCUUGUAUCGGAACCCAUCUGCUCGAUCAUCGGUGAUUCAAGGAAUAGUGCAGAAGGAUAUAUAGCCAAGGACAAAAGAAAGAGAUUACAUAGUGUUUUUAGUUACUUAGGCAACAAUAACAUAGAGUGAAAAUGUGACAAAGCUACACAAGAAUUGAGAAAUAACCCUGCAUCGACAGGUUAACACGGGCCAUGCCACAAUGAGUGUAUUCAACAACAAGUUAACAAGUAAGUGAGACAAAGAUAGGUAUCCAAGUGACAAGCGGAUCACGUGAAAGGUUUGAUUUUCUGUGAAACAUGAUGAUCCUUUAAUUUCCCACUGCACUAGAAAAGGAAAUCAGGGUUAGCUCCUAUGGAGAGAAUUUUGUAUCACUGCAAAACAAAAUUGCCACUUUUGCCUUUUCUAAGUAUUAGGUGAAAAUGUAAAACAGACACAAACCACAUAUGAAAGUCUCUGCUUUGCUCUUUGUCAUAUUGUCUGACCCAAAGCUCAAUAUAACUUUGUAGUUUGCUUUAAGAGUUGAAAAGUUAAAUAAAUGUUCUUUAGACUUGUAGAAGUUAUGUAGAGGCUUCCAAAAAUCAAAACUAUAAAGAGUGUAAAACAAGAUAAACACAAGGUAGAAGAUGUUACUCGCUCUGAUCACACAACGAUAUGCAGCCAAAGGAGGGUCUGUGAAUAACAAUUAGUACUCGGAACUUACAUCUAGUGGCUACAAAAGGUAAAAUAUUCCUAAUAACUGUCAGCAGUAUCCCAACUAGGAACAACGUUUCCUUAUAAGCAACUCUACUUCUUCCUAUUGACAAUAAUACAAAAUUGUUUUAAUUUUUAAUCAGUAACUCUACCACAAUCAGAAAACUAAGUUCCCAAGUUCCUACCAGUGACCAAAUGUAUGUUGCCAUCUCAAAUGCGUUCUGCGUAUGAUUCACCCAGAAGAGCAAUCAAUAAGUCAUAUAUGAGGCAACUAUAUUAUUGACCUAAAUUUAAUUAGAUGUAACGACUCGGCCGAUUGUUUCAUGAGUUACCGCUCUAUUUCUCCCAUUUAUGAUUCUUAUUGUCUUGUUCAGUUGUAUUAUGUGCUACCUAGUUUGUUGGUUCGGGUUCGGAGAGGUUUUGGUAAGGUUUGAGACACUUACACUCUUUUAAGUAAGCUUAAGAUGGAAAUGUCAACCGGAUAUUGGCUUAUACAAAAAGGGCUCGGAUGUGAGUUCUAAUGGUUUGGAUAAAUUCGAUAGGUGAUUUGGGAUGUAGGAGCGUGAUCGGAAUGUGUUUUGGAGGUCCGGAGUAGAUUUAGGCUUGAAUUGACGAAAUUGGAAUUUUAGCAUUUUCCAGUUGAUAGGUAAGAUUUUGAUAUAGGGGUUGGAAUGGAAUUCCGGAAGUUGGAGUAGGUCCUUUGCGUCAUUUUUAACGCGUGUGCAAAAUUUUAGGUCAUUCGGAUGAGGUUUGAUAGACUUUUUCAUCGAAAGCGGAAUUUGGAAGUUUUUGGAAUUCUUAGGCUUGAAUCCGAUAUCAAAUUGGUAUUUUGAUGUUGUUUUAAGUGUUCCGAAUAUUGGAACAAGUUGUAAUGAUGUUAUGGGAUAUGUUGGCAUAUUUGUUUGAGGUCCCGAGGGCCUCGGGUGAGUUUCGGGUGGCUGAACAGAUCAUUUCAUGUUGGAAAAAGUUGCAAAAAAACUGUUGUUGGUGUGGCAGGCUUUUGGACUUCACGUUCGCAAUGGAUGUCCCGCAUUCGCGAAGGGUUGGGAUGAGAGGCAGUAGAGUUUGCCUUCGCGUUCGGGAAGGUGGUCCCGCGUACGCAAAGUGCUGAGGUUAGCAGUCAUCCCGUUCGCGAGGGUGUUGCUGCGUUCGCGAUGAGUUGAGAAGCUAAGGCUUCGCGUUCGCGUGCAUGGGUCACAUUCGCGAUAAAGGAAAAGGUGGUCAACAUAAGUUUGUUCUUAGCGAACGCGAGGCGUUGACCGCGUUCGCAAAGAAAUAUCGUGAUAUAACGACCCGACUUGUCAUUUUGCAUUUUAGAACCUCGUUCCCUUGAAUUAAACUUCCCGUGCUUGCAUUGACUAAUUUAUGACUUGCGGGGAUGGCCGGUUCAGGAUUUGGAAGAGUUUGGAGUGAAAUAUGCCCAUUUGAUUCCUUAGGAUUUUCUUAAAUGGCUAAGUUUGACUUUGGUCAAUAUUUUGAGCAAACGGGCCCUGAUUCGUGAUUUGACGGUCCCAGAGGGUCCGUAGUAAAAUAUGGGACCUGGGCGUAUGCUCGGAAUCAAAUUUCGAGGUCCCUAACCCGAGUAAUGAAUUUUUAUUAGAAAUUGUUAAUCUGAAGUUUUAAAUAUUUAAAGAAACUAAUUAAUGAUUGAUUUCAUGGGUAUCAGGAUCGUAUGUUGGUUCUAAAGCUCGGUACAGGUCCAAUAUAUCAUUUAAGGCUCGCCAGUAAAAUUUGGUGUCAAUCCGAGUAGUUUAAGGGCAUUUUGGCCCAUUAGAGAAAAAUUAAGAACUUGAAGUUCAUAAGUUGAUUCAAUUGGUUUUAGGGGGUGAUUCUUAGAUUUAGUGUUGUUUCGGGCAUUUCGACGGUUCGAGUAGGUCUGUUUCUUGAUUUCAGUCUUGACGAUAUGUUUGGGCAGGGCCCGGGAGCCCCGAGCAUCAAUCGGGCGAGGCUCGAGUUAAGUUGAAAUUUUUGAGAAGUGUUGAAGCUGCUGCUUCCGUCAUAACCGCACCUGCGGUUAGUAGACCGUAGGUGCGAGACCGCAGAUGAGGCCCUAGGAAGGCCAGGCCAAACCGUAGAAGCAGCUCUCGAACCGCAAAAGCGGCCUCAAGACCGCAGAAGCAGUCCUAGCCCUUUUAGCACCUUUUCGUAUGUGCGGGACUGCAGAUGUGGUCCCCUGACCGCAGAUGCGGGAAUCGCUGAAGCAGGGAGAUUUAUUUAAUGCAUGUUCUAAGUCAUUUUCGACACUUUUCACUCCUCCAUUGGCGAUUUUGGGAGCUUUUGCAAGAGGGCUUCUACUUGGCAUCUUGUGGUAAGCUUACGCCACCUAUUCUUAGUUUAACACUUGUGUUUUAGGUAGAUUAAACACUAGGGUUAAAGUAAAAUAUGGGGUUAGAGCGAGACCUAGGAUUAAACACUAGGUUUAAAGUAAAUCGGAAUCCCGGCACGUAAGCCUAGGCUCAAAUUUUAGGAAACUUGUGUUAAAGGUUGGGAAAUUGCUUAAAUAGCUAGAAUUCAAUAUUGUGAGUCUAUAUUGACUAGUUCCUACCUCAUUUAACUAGUUAAAGAUCGAUCGACUCCGAAUUGAGGGCUUGGACUCGUUCUUGGUAUUGGAAGUGCACUUUGGAGCGAGGUGAGUCUCCUUACUAACCUUGUAAGAGGGAAUUGUCCCCAUAGGUGUAAUAAUUGAAUUAAUUGCUAUUAUAUGUGGGGGCUACGUAUGAACUAGGUGACGAGAGUCUAUGUGUAGCUACUAUUAUGUUAAGUCCGGGUAGUGUUGGACCCAAAAGCAUGCUCUGCGUGGUAUUCUUGUAACUUGAUGAUAAAUUUGGAUUCAUCUAAAUCAUAUUGAUUAAGGUAAAUAAGACUAGUAGAGGAACCUUAUCUUGCUUGGUCUUUUAAAAGAGGAUUUGAAUAUUCCUGUGAACAACUACUCCUCAGAUAUAUAUUAUUGUCUGCUUGUUAUGAGUUAUUUAUAUUUGACCGCAUUGCACGUGUGAUUCACGAGCCGGGUAAUAGAUGCAUCUAGGGUUCGAGCCGUUCGACCCUCGGUAGUGCACAAUUUACUUUUAUGUUAGAUCGGGCCGUACGUCCUCAGUGUUGCUUGCGCAUGCUUUACUUAGUAUUUCUCUAUGGACUGAACUUUAUAUAUGCCUUGAAACGUAAAUGGAUACCCAUGAUAUAAUUUGGAAGAAGAAUUGUUAUUCCUCGCCAUACAAUGCUAAUAAAUUGUGCUAUCCAUGCUUAUAACAGAUUCUUUCUCAUAUUAAUUGACCAUAGUAAGUAUCAAGUUAACCUAUCAGCUCUACUUCUUCGAAAUUAGACGGGAUACUUACUGGGUACAUAUUGUUUAUGUACUCAUACUACACUUAUGUACUUAAUUGUACAGGAUCUGAGAUAAGUGUAUCUUGUUAUCAGUCUGGCGCGCAUCCCUGAGCGAAUUUCGAGACUUCCAAGGUGAGCUGCUCCCUUUCUGUGCCGUUCAGCAGCUUGAUAAGGUCUUUCUUUACUCUUGAUAUAUAUUCUAUCCCGGACAGUAGGAUAGAAUUAUUCUUUUGUACAUUCUACUAGUUGCCCACUACUCGUGAUACCAGGUCUUGGCACACACAUUAGUAGAUAGUUCUUUUGGGUUGUAUAAUUGUUAUUACAUAUUGCUUAUCAUCACCUAUUUUGAAUUGCACAUUAAGAAAUGCUGUAACCGUUUCGGGUAAGUAAAAUAUGAAUUUACUAAUACUUCUGCAUUGGCUUGCCUGACAACGGUGUUGGGCGCCAUCACGACCCUUGGUAGAUUUUGGGUCGUGACAACAUGGUAUCAGAGCACUAGGUUCACAUAGGUCUCACAACAUGGGCAAACCUAAUAGAGUCUUGCGGAUCAGUACAGAGACGUCUGUAUUUAUCUUCGAGAGGCUAUAGGGUGUUAGAAAAACUGCUCUUUAUUCAUUUCCUAUAGUGCAGUGGUGGUUGUGUUAAAUUUCCCUCUUCUAUUCUCUCACAGAUGGUAAGGACACGCACGACUGAUGUUUCAGACCCGGGCAGAGCUGUUUCCCUCGUUGCUAGAGGCCGAGGCAGAGGCCGGGGGAGGGCACCGGCCCGAGGUAGGGGACCAGGGCAUCCUAUAGUGAUCCUAGUAGUACCACCAGCAGAUCCCGCGGGAGAUCCUAUCAUCGAGAAGCAGGGUGAGGUUCCCGCAACAGAUCCCACCCUAGCGGACAUUAUGACAGCACCGGGAUUCCGGGAGGUCAUGGGUCAUAUACUGCGGUUCUUGGAUUCUAUGACUCAUGCUGGUUUAUUUCUAGCAGAUCCAGCUACAUCACAGGCAGGAGGGGGAGCACAGACCCCUAUUGCUUAGGCUCCCGGACAUGCAGUUGCAGUGUAUCAGACUCUGGCUGCACUACCCGCAGAUAGGGCUCCGCUAGUUGCUGCAGUGGCACCCCAGCCCAGACCAGCUGCGGAUGGUGAUCCACAGAAGUUAUUGGAUAGAUGGACUAGGCUUCACCCUCCGGUCUUCGGGGGCGAGCGUCAUGAGGAUGCCCAGGACUUCAUAGAUAGGUGCAGGGAUAGACUGCACAAUAUGAGGAUAUUGGAGUCGCACGAAAUUGACUUCACUACUUUUUUGCUUGAGGGCAGGGCCCGUAGAUGGUGGCAGUCCUAUGUUCUAGGCAUGCCAAUAAGUUCUCCUCCCAUCACUUAGGGUCAGUUCGCAUAGUUGUUCUUGGAUAGGUACAUUCCACCCUCUGAUAGGGAAGAGUUACGGUAUCAGUUUGAGCAUCUGAAGCAGGGUCAGAUGUCUGUGACCGAUUAUGAGGCGAGGUUUUCUGAGUUGUCUCGCCAUGCACUCACGAUAAUUCCUAUAGAUGCAGAGAGAGUGCAGAGAUUUAUUGGGGGGUUGCACCCCAAUAUUCGAGAUGGCAUGGCUCGAGAGGUGGAGAUGGGUACUGAGUAUCAACUAGUGGUAGAGAUUGCUCGCAUGAAUGAGGGGUAUUGCAAGAGGGGUAGAGAGCAGAUUCAGCAGGACAAGAGGGCCUGGUUUUCGGGAGAGUUCUGAGGCACCCCAGUUAGGAGUAGAGGUCACUUUGGGAGGGGUCAGCCCAGCAAACCCCCAUAUUCAGCACUACCACCCCCUCCCCGAGGUGCUCUAGUGAGGCCUUAUUUCAGUGCGAUGCCAGAGAGUUCAUAUCGACCACCAGUUAUUCAGGGUUCCUCUGGUGGGUAUUCUGGUCAUCAUUAUUCUUCCAGUGCUCACUUCAGUGUCGUGCCAGAGAGUUCAUAUCUCCUACCAGCCAUCCAGGGUUCCUCCAGUGGGUAUUCGGGUCAGCAGGCUAAGACUUCAAGGUAGCAGGAAAUGGUACCGAGAGCGUGUUACGAGUGUGGAGAUCCGGGUCACAUGAAGAGGACCUACCCCAGACUUUGGGGCAAGGUAGUGCAGUAGAGUCAGCAGCAUAUGAUUUUAGCACUGGCUUCCCCGACACCUAGGGGUGGAGGGUAGAUGGGUAAGGGCCAUCCUAAAGGUAGAGGCCAGGAAGGGAGAGGUCAGCCAGCCACUGCUCAGUCUGGUGGAGGCCAGCCAGCCGGCACUCCAGCCAAAUUCUAUGCCCUUCCGGCUAGGCCAGAUGCAUUGGCCUUAGAUGCCGUCAUCACAGGUAUUAUUUUUGUCGGCAUUAGAGAUGCUUCAGUAUUAUUUGAUACAGGUCUACUUAUUCAUAUGUAUCAUCUCUGUUGUGGAUCGGAUCUACCGGUCUUGUGUGGUUACACUUUGUGUUUUUGAAACUAGAGCAGAUCUCAUGUUACUUGAUAUAAUCGAUUUUGAGAUCAUCCUAGGCAUGGAUUGGUUCUCUCUGUAUCACGCCGUCCUGGAUUGCUAUGCCAAAAUUGUUACUUUAGCGAUGCCAGGGUUGCCGAGGUUGGACCGGAAGGGUUCCACAGUUCAUACAUCUAGUCGGGUUAUUUCUUUCCUGAAGGCUCGGCAAAUGGUCGAGAAGGGGUGUUUGGAUUAUUUGGAUUAUGUUUGAGACACCACUGCAGAGUCUCCGAAGAUUGAUUCAAAUCCAGUAGUUCGAGAGUUUGCCGAUGUGUUUCCUUUUGAUCUACCUGUCAUGCCACCAGAUCGUGAUAUUGAUUUCUGCAUUGAUUUGGCUCCAGGCACCCAGCUUGUAUCUAUCCCACCGUACCGUAUGGCUCCGAAAGAGUUGAAGGAGUAGCUUGAGGAGUUGUUAGCAAAGGGGUUUGUUAGACCCAGUGUAUACCCUUAGGGUGCACCAAUGUUAUUUGUGAAGAAGAAGGAUGGAACUAUGCUGAUGUGCAUGGAUUACUGCUAGUUGAACAAAGUCACCAUCAAGAACAAGUAUCCAUUGCCUUGUAUCGACGAUUUGUUCGACCUGUUGCAGGGUGCUAGGGUGUUCUCCAAGAUUGACUUGAGGUCCGGUUAUCAUCAGCUGAAUAUUCGGGACUCGGAUGUUCUGAAGACUGCAUUCUGGACUAGAUAUGGCCACUAUGAGUUCCUAGUGAUGUCCUUUGGCUUGACUAAUGCCCCAACAACAUUCAUAGACUUGAUGAACAGGGUAUUCAGGCCUUACAUUGAUUCAUUUGUCGUUGUCUUCAUUGACGACAUCUUGAUAUACUCCCGUAGCCUAGGGAGCACGAGCAACAUUUGAUGGUAGUGCUUCAGACCUUGCGAAAGUAGAAGCUAUAUGCUAAGUUCUCCAAGUGUGAGUUCUGGCUAGUGUCAAUGGCAUUCUUGGGGCAUAUUAUGUUAGGAGAGGGUAUUAAGGUGGACCCCAAGAAUAUUGAGGCAGUUCAGAGUUGGCCACGUCCUACUUUGGUGACUGAGAUUAGGAGAUUCCUGGGGUUAGCAGGUUACUACAAACGAUUCGUGCAGGGCUUUUCAGUUAUUGCAUCACCUCUAACUAGAUUGACCCAGAAGGGUGCUCCUUUCCAAUGGUCCGAUGAUUGUGAGGCGAACUUUCAGAAGCUCAAGAUAGGCUUGACUAUAACACCAGCCCUUGUGUAGCCUUCCGAUUUAGGGAUGUAUAUGGUAUAUUGCAAUGUUUCGCGCAUUGGAUUGGGGUGUGUAUUGAUGUAGGAGGGGCGAGUUAUUGCAUAUGUCUCGCGCCAACUUAAGGUUCAUGAGAAGAAUUAUCACAUGCACGAUCUAGAUUUGGCCGUGAUUGUUCAUGCUCUUAAGAUAUGGAGGCAUUAUCUGUAUGGGGUGUUAUGUGAGGUUUAUACAGAUCAUCGCAGCUUACAAUAUUUGUUCAAACAGAGGGAUCUUAAUUUGAGGCAGUGCAGGUGGCUUGAGUUACUAAGGGAUUAUUAUAUCACAAUUCUUUUCCAUCCGGGCAAGGCUAAUGUGGUCACGAAUGCCUUAAGUAGGAAGGCAGAGAGUAUGGGAAGCUUGGCAUUCAUUCCAGCGGAGGAGAGGACACUAGCCUGGGACAUUCUGUCCUUGGCUAACAGACUUGUGAGGUUGAAUAUUUCAUAGCCCAAUCGAGCUCUUGCAUGUGUGGUUUCUCAGUCUUCAUUAUUUUGCGGUUCUCAGAAAGACAGUGCUUCAGGGAGGUGCCAAAGAGGUUUCUAUUAGCGAGGAUGGUGUUUUGCGACUCCAAGGUCGUCUAUGUUUUCCUAAUGUCGAUGGUAUAAGGGAGAGGAUUCUAGAAGAGGCACACAGUUCGCGGUAUUCCAUCCAUCCGGGAGCUACGAAGAUGUAUUGUGACUUGAGAUAGCAUUAUUGGUGGCGGAGGAUGAACAAUGACAUAGUGGAGUAUGUGGCUAUGUGUCUGAAUUGCCAGCAGGUCAAGUAUGAACACCAGAGGCCGGGUGGCCUACUUCAGCAGAUGCCUAUAGCAGAGUGGAAGUGGGAGCGCAUUACCAUGGAUUUCGUAGUUGGGUUGCUGCGGACUUUGCGGAAGUUUGAUUCAGUGUGAGUCAUUGUCGAUAGAUUGACCAAGUCGGCACACUUCAUACCGGUGGUGACUACUUAUACUUCGGAGAGACAAGCUCAGAUUUACAUUCGGGAUAUAGUCCGGUUGCACGGUGUGCCUAUUUCCAUCAUAUCAGAUAGAGGCCCUCAGUUCACUUCACAUUUCUGGAGAGCUGUUCAGGGUGAGCUGGGGACCCGCAUGGAGCUUAGCACGACAUUUCAUCCAUAGACCGACGAGCAGUCGGAGCGGAUAGUUCUAAUUUUGGAGGACAUGCUUAGAUCAUGUGUGAUUAACUUUGGAGGACAGUGGGAUCAGUUCUUGCCCUUGGCAGAGUUUGCGUACAACAACAGCUAUCAAUCCAUCAUAAAGAUGGCUCUAUAUGAGGCAUUAUAUGAUCGACAUUGUCGUUCUCCUAUCGGGUGGUUUGAGCCUGGUGAGGCUAAGUUAUACAGUACAGAUUUGGUACAGGAUGCCUUGGACAAGGUAUUAGUGAUUCAGGAAAGGCUUCGUACAGUUCAGUCCAGACAGAAGAGCUAUGCAGAUCAGAAGGCGCGUGAUGUUUCAUUCAUGGUUGGCGAGAAGGUCCUCUUGAAAGUCUCGCCAAUGAAGGGCAUUAUAAGAUUCGGGAAGAAAGGCAAGAUGAGCCCAAGGUUUAUUGGCCCAUUUGAGGUGUUGAGGCGAUUUGGGGAGGUUGCUUACAAGCUUGCAUUACCCCCCAGCUUAUCGGGAGUUCAUCCGAUAUUUUAUGUAUCGAUGCUUCGGAAGUAUCACGCCGACCUGUCCCAUGUGUUAGAAUUCAGUACUAUUCAGCUGGACGAGAGUUUGGGUUAUGAGGAGGAGCCAAUUGUCAUUACUGAUAGACAGGAUCGCCAGUUGAGGUCCAAUAGGAUUUUUGUGGUAAGAGUCCAGUGGAGGGGCCAAGCAGUCGAGAAAGCGACCUGGGAGUCCGAGGAGGACAUGCAGUGCAGAUAUCCAUAUUUAUUCAGCAGCUCAGGUACUUUUCUAUGUCUGUUCAAGGACGAACGUUUGUUUAAGAGGUGGAGAGUGUAACGACCCGACUGGUCGUUUUGCCUUUUAGAACCCUGUUCCCUUGAAUAAAACUUCUCGUGCUUGCUUUAACUAAUUUACGACUUGAGGGGAUGGUGGGUUCAGGAUUUGGAAGAGUUGGAGUAAAUUAUGCCCAUUUGAUUCCUUAGGAUUUUCUUAAAAGACUAAGUUUGACUUUGGUUAAUAUUUUGAGCAAACGGACCCAGCUUCGUGAUUUGACAAUCCCGGAGGGUCCGUAGGUAAAUAUGGGACCUGGGCGUAUGCUCGGAAUUGAAUUACGAGGUCCUUAUCCCGAGUAAUGAAUUUUUAUUAGAAAUUGUUAAUCUGAAGUUUUAAAUAUUUAAAGAAACUAAUUAAUGAAUUAUUCCAUAGGUAUCGGGCUCGUAUGUUGGUGAUGAAGCCCAGUACAGGUCCGAUAUAUCAUUUAACGCCCGCCUGUAAAUUUUGUGUCAAUCCAAGUAGUUUAAGGGCGUUUUGGCCCGUUAGAGAAAAAUUAAGAACUUGAAGUUCAUAUGUUUGAUUCAAUUGGUUUUACGAGUGAUUCUUAGAUUUAGCAUUGUUUCGGGCGUUCCGAAGCAUCGAGUAGGUCCGUUUCGUGAUUUCAGACUUGACGGUAUUUUCGGGCGGGGCCCGGGAGCCCCGAGCGUCAAUCGGGCGAGGCUCGAGUGAAGUUAAACUUUUUGAGAAGUGCUGAAGCUAUUGUUUCUGUCACAACCACAUCUGCGGUUGUUGGACCGCAGAUGCGAGACUACAGAUGCGGUCCAUCUAUCGUAGAUGCGGCCCAGGGAAGGCCAGACCAAACCGCAGAAGCAACUCUCGAACCACAGAAGCGCCCUCAAGACCGUAGAAGCGGUCCCAGCCCUUUUAGCCCCUUUUUGUAGAUGUGGUCCCUUCUCGCAGAUGCGGUCCCCUGACCGCAGAUGCAGGAAUCUCUGAAGCAGUGAGGUUCAUUUAAUACGGGUUCUAAGUCAUUUUCGACACUUUUUACUCCUCCAUUGGCGAUUUUGGGAACUUUUGGAAGCGGUAUUCUACUUGGCAUCUUGAGGUAAGCUUACCCCACCCAUUCUUAGUUUUACACUUGUGUUUUAGGUAGAUUAAACACUAGGGUUAAGAUAAAAUCAUGGGGUUAGAGCUACACUUAGGGUUUUAAUAAAACUUAGAUAUUAGAAAUCAUAUAUUAUUGAUCCUUAGGUUAUAGAGAACAACUUCCUUUGAAAAAUUUCGGAAUCCGGGCACAUGGGCCCGGGGUCAGAUUUUAGGAAACUUGUGUUAAAGGUUGGAAAAUUGCUUAAAAGCUAGAAUUCAAUCUUAUGAGUCUAUAUUGACUAGUUCGUACCUCAUUUAAUUAGUUUGGGACCGUUCAACUCCGAAUUAAGGGCUUGGAGUCGUUCUUGGUAUUGGAAGUACACUUUGGAGCGAGGUGAGUCUCUUUUCUAACCUUGUAAGAGAGAAUUGUACCCAUAAGUAUAAUAAUUGAAUUAAUUGCUAUUAUAUGUGGGGGCUACGUACGCACUAUGUGACGAGAGUCCGUGUGUAGCUACUAUUAUAUUAAGUCCGGGUAGUUUAGGACCCAAAAGCAUGAUCUACAUGGUAUUCAUGUAACUUAAUUAUAAAUUUGGAUUCAUAUAAAUCAUGUUGAUUAAGGUAAAUAAGACUAGUAGAGUAACCAUAUCUUGCUUGGUCUUUUAAAAGAGGAUUUGAAUAUUCCUGUGAACAACUACUCCUCAGAUAUACAUUAUUGUUUGCCUCUUAAUGAGUUAUUUAUAUUUGACCGCAUCGCACGUGUGAUUCACGAGUGGGGUAAUAGAUGCAUCUAGCGUUCGAGCCGUCCGACCCUCGGCAGUGCACAAUUUACUUUUAUGUUGGAUCGGGCCGUACGUCCCUCGGUGUUGCUUGUGCAUGCUUUACUUAGUAUUUCUCUGUGGACUGAACUUUAUAUAUGCCUUGAAACGUAAAUGGAUACCCAUGAUAUAAUUUGGAAGAAGAAUUGUUAUUCCUUGCCAUACAAUGCUAAUAAAUUGUGCUAUCCAUGCUUAUAACAGAUUCUUUCUCAUAUUAAUUGACCAUAGUAAGUAUCAAAUCAACCUCUAGGCUCUACUUCUUCGAAAUUAGACGGCAUACUUACUGGGUACAUAUUGUUUAUGUACUCAUACUACACUUUUGUACUUAAUUGUAUAGGAUCUGAGACAAGUGUAUCUGGCUAUCAGUCUGGUGCACAUUCCUGUGCGGAUUUCGAGACUUCCACGGUGAGCUGCUCUCUUCCUGUGCCGUUCAACAGCUUGAUGGGGUCUUCCUUUACUUUUGUUGUCUAUUCUAUCUCGGACAGCAGGAUAGUAUUAUUCUUUUGUACAUUCUACUAGUUGCCCACUACUUGUGAUACCAGGUCUUGGCACACACAUUAGUAGACAGUUCUUUUGGGUUGUAUAAUUAUUAUUACAUAUUGCUUAUCAUCACCUGUUUUCAAUUGCAAAUUAAGAAAUGUUGUAACCGCUUUGGGUAAAUAAAAUAAGAAUUUACUGAUACUUCCGCGUUGGCUUGCCUGACAACGAUGUUGGGCGCCAUCACGACCCUUGGUGGAUUUUGGGUCAUGACACGUGAAUAGCUGGGCACAAUGUUUAAAAGAACAUCUCCGCGAUUUUGGUUCUACGUUUCACAAUUGUUAAGUGAUUUUGGAGCUUUUUAAAGGAGAUUGAAGAGCGAAUCAAGGGGAAACACUUAGAGGUAAGAUUUAUGGACUUAAUACUCAAUCCUAAUGUGAUUUCUACCUAAUUAAACAUGGCAAUUAUGGAAUCUAAAGCCUAAAAUUAGAAGUUAGGGCUUGGAAAUCGGAGACUUGAAUCUAGGAAUUUGAUGGGUCAUUUGUGGUCAAAUUUUGAUGUAUUUGAUAUGUAUGAACUCGUGACAGUUUAUGGAUUCUAGUUUUGUGAUUUUUAUCGGAAUCAGAGACGUAGGCUCGGGGGUCGGGUUUGGCCAAUUUCGAGUUUUUUGAUGUAAAUUGAUUAUUCUCGAGUGGGCUUUGUUCCCUUAGCAUAUUUUGAUGGUAUAAAUCUAUUUUUGAAUAUAUUUGGAGCAUCUAGAGCCGAUUCGAGAGGAAAAAGCAUCGCGGGCUAGAGUUUGGACCAGAUAGAGGUAUGUAAUGAUUGUAAAUGCUGUCAUGAAGAUAUGAAACCCCGGAUUUCAAAUCGUUGUUCUACUUUGAUCGGAAUGUGUUUUCCCCAUUGCAUCGCUUGAAAAAAAUUUCAUGUAAUUGGUAAAUUUUAUUUUCAAAAUUAAACUCAUUCUUUAUGUUUGAUAUAUUAUUUUAAUAUGAAAAUUUGAAAAAAUGAGAAACAGAAAAAGUGAAAAAAUAAAAGGAUGAUCAAGACAAGUCUUCUACUGUUAUGAAAGCUUUACAUAAUUUAAUUAAGAUGAAAUUCCUUAGAAAUAUUAUCAUAUGUAAGUGAUUUUUAUUAUUUCAUGGUGGCUUCUCGAUAUAUAGUAAUUUAUAAAAUAUAUUUUUAAUUUAUAUUGGAUCGCGUAGUUUUUGAUUAUUCAAAUCAUCAUGUAAACAAUAAAAAAAUAUACUAGAUACCCAAUAUUAUUAUUUUUGUAGCUAUAUGUUUUACGGAUUAAAAUAUUUAAUAUAUAUUCUUACUCUAUAUUUUAUAUAUUAAAUUAAAUAAAAAAUAAAUUUAAUUAUUGUGAUGACCUCUUUACUUGCUUUUAAUUGAAUUUUGUGUCUCCGAGGCCUUGAAAACCUCAUUUAGAGUCGCCUCGAUUUGCAUGCGCAAUCCUGGCGGGUAUCCGAAAAGCUUAAAUAUGAACAUCUGUGAAAAAUGAUAAAAAUAUUUGUUAUAAAAAUGAGUAAAUUUGACUUCGGUCAACAUUUUGGGUAAACGGACUCUGACCCGUAAUUUGACGGUUCCAAAGGGUUCGUAGGAAAAUAUGGGACUUGAGCGUAUGCCCGAAAUCGAAUUCCGAGGUCCCAAGCCCGAGAAUGAAUUUUUGAAGAAAAUUAUUUUCUGAAAUUGCUUAAGGAAACAUGAAAUGAAAUCUGAUUAGAAUGUGAUGGUAUCGGGCCUGCAUUUUAUUUUCGGCGCCCGGUACAUGUCGUAUAUAUUAUUUAAGACAUUCCUAUAAAAUUUGGUUAAAAACGGAUAUCAUUUGACGUGAUUCGGAUCUAAAUUGCUAAAUUUGAUACUUGAUGAAGUUUGAGAAAAACUCUUUGAUUUUGAGGUUUGAUUCGUUUUUAUUUUGGCGAUUUGAUCGCACGGAUAAGUUCGUAUGAUAUUGUUGAGUUAGUACGUAUGUUUGGUUAGGAGCCCUGAGGGCUCAGGUGUGUUUCGGAUGUGAUUCAGGAAGUUUAAACUUAAGAAAAAGUUGCAGAAUUUCUGCUACAGGUGCUCAGUCCUGUUGUUCAUCGCGAUCACGUAGUCACUCUCGCGAUCGCGUAAGGUAAAUGGGGACAGGGGUGAUUUGUCUAUCGCGAACGCGGAGCCGCAGUCGCGAACACGAAGCUUUGGGGGAUUUUCUCAUCCCGAAAGUGACCUGUGUGACGUGAACGCGUAUCGUUAAUUGGAGGGGGCUGGGAUUUUGGUCGUUCUUCUAAGCGAACGCGUAAGCUUUUCCGCGAACGUGAAGGUCAGAGGGGUCAACCCUUCGCGAACGCGUGAAAGAACUCGCAAUCGCGUAAGUCCAUUACUAGCAGCCCUUCGGGAUCGCGGCAACGUUCUCGUGAACGCGCUGAACAUUGUCGCCCAGCACUUAAAACAGUAGCCAUUUCGGGAUUUAUUCAAAGUUUCAUAACUUUUUCACUUAACUCCAAAUUGGGCGAUUUUUGAAAGAGGAUUUCACCACAAAUUCAUAGGUAUGUAAUCUUAGACUCAUUUUCCAUCAACACCCACUAGAUUUCUAGGCCUAAAGCAUGUGAAUAAGGGUAGAAAAUUAGGGAUUUGGGUAGAGUUAGGGCCUUUUGAUUAUUCAUGAUUUAGACCUCGUUUUGGGGUCGGAUUUAAAAAACAAUUAUAUAUUCGGGCUCAUGAGUGAAUGGGUAAUCGGGUUUUGGUUUGAACCUAGGGUUUUGACCAUGUGGGCCCGGGGGAAUUUUUUGACUUUUUAGGUAAAACUUUGAAAAACGCAUUUUUAUGCAUCGGGGUUGAUUCAUGUAGCGUUUAUUGAUGUAAUUAGGUAAUUUGUGACUAGAUACAAGCGAAUUGGAGGUGGAAUCAAGGGGUAAAGCUAUAAUUGAACUUUGUGUUAUGUUCGUGACAUUGAGGUAAGUGUUUGGUCUAACCUUAGCUUGAGGGAUUAGGAGUUGAGUCCUAUUUUCUAUGUGGUAAUUGUUGAGUACGACGUAUAAGCAUGGUGACGAGUAUUUAUACGUUGGUGUCAAGCAUGAUCGUGAGUCUUAUAUUGUGAUUUUCAUGAUUUCGUUGCAUUAUUCAUGCCUUGGUGAAGAUUUAUAAUUGUUGUAUAAGGUUUGUGGAAAGAAUUGUGACCUAUGAACAUUGAGGAGCGUUGGCUCAAGUUGCAUAAUGAAUUGUGAAAGUAUAAGUGAUAGUUGAACUUUUAGAGCAUUGGCUCGAGUUGUGAAAUGAGUUGUGACGGUAUAAGUGAUAAUUGAACCUCUAGAGCAUUGGCUCGAGUUGUGAAGUAAAUUGUGAAGUAAAAGUGAGAAAGAGGAAAUAUCAUUAUGUUGUCACCCUUGCCAGGCUAUCGUUGAUUUAUUUGUUAUCUCCCUUGCCGGGAUGUGGAUGUUAUUGAUGUUGUUCCCUUGCCAGGAUUUAAUUGUUAACUUGUUGCUCCCUUGCCGGGAUUCUUAUUGCAAAUUUCCUUUAUUUCCUUNNNNNNNNNNNNNNNNNNNNNNNNNUGAGAGAGUGUUAAAGUAUGAAGGGUGAUGCCGUGUAUUGUUUUGGUGAGAGAGAGUAAAAGUACGAUGGGUGAUGCCGUGCACUUGUCUUUGAUUUCCUAAUUGUUAUUGAUAGCUGAGUUACGACUUCUCUACACUAAAUUCCUGGCUUCCUGUUGAUACUUGUUGUACCCCGCAACAUGAUUUCCCCUUCCUAUUUUCAAAUGAACUGUUGUGAUCCUCAUAUUUAUUUGUUGCUCUUUCGUUACUACUCGAUGUUUCCCCGCAACAUGUUUUCCCCCUCCCAUACUUGAUUGUAUAUGACCGUUGCUUUCUGUACUUCUUUUCUGCUGUAAAUAGUUAAAUUGCACAGGUUUAUUUGGUAGUCUGGUCCUAACCUCGUCAUUACUUCGCCGAGGUUAGGCUAGGCACUUACCAGCACAUGGGGUCGGUUGUGCUGAUACUACACUCUGCCCUCUUUUGUGCAGACCCCAGUAUUGUAGACUUCGGACCGCAGUGGGAUUGUUGAUUCUUGCUCAUCAGGCGACCCGAGGUAGUCCUGCAGACGUCCACAGGCCUUGGCGUCUCCUUAUAUCUACUAUUCUUGUUUCUUACAUGCAUUUCAAGAGACGGUGUUGUAUUUAUUUCUUUCAGACCUUUAAUUGUAGUAUUUUUAGACCGUCUGUGAAACUGUGACACCAGUUCUGGGUAGUCGAGACUCAAACAGUUGUAUUAGAUAUUCCUGUUCAGAUAACUUAUUGUUUCUUUUUUUCGCUUGUGUUGAAUUCCGCUUUGUAAAUGUUAUUAUUUUGAAAUUGUUAAUGAAUAUAAAAUUGGUAAAAAGGUAAAUUGUGCAAUAAUUGGCUUGCCUAGCUCACAUUAGUAGGCGUCAUCACGACUCCCGAGGGUGGAAAAUCCGGGUCGUGACAAUUAUAUAUAUAUAUAUAUAUAUAUUCAAAUUUUUGAUAAAAGGUAAACUUUUUGCUUGCAAAACUAUCAGACAACACAAUACUUCAUGGCAUUUAAAAAAGUUGUUAAAUAUUUUUAACCUUGUUUUCUUUCCAAAUGGAAUAAAAUAACUCUUUUGAACGAAAGGAAAUAUUGCAAAGGCACAACACCGGAACUCUCGGAGGAAAAAUAGUAUUGCUUUCACAUGCUUUAUAUGGAAAAAUUAUAUGGUUUAGCUAACUUAUAUAUUGUAUUUAUUAUUAAUAGAUAUACUUUUAAAAAAAUUGCUAUGCAUAGCAAUAUUUGAAUGUUAUAACAAUUUACUUGUAGUACUGAAACAAGAGAUCAAUUAUUUUGAACUGAACGCUAACAACAUAAGCUCUCGUAACUCAGUUGGUUAGAACACCCAUUUAGUAAGAGGGCGGUGUUGAGAUUGACUCUCAUCGUGAGCAUUUUGUUUCUUAAUUUUUUUUUUGUAUUUCUAUAUUUCGCCUUGGUUGUACGCAUUGUGAAAUACAUGUUAUAUUUGUUGCGCUAAAUAUAAAUUAGGCAAACUAUAGUUACGAAUGGUAAUUAAACUCUAAACCAUAGUGUUUUGUGAAAAUUCCUUUAUUAUCAUCAUAGUUCUUUAUUGUUCGAGUGACAUUAAGUAAAAUAAAAACUGAAGAUUAAUUAGAAAAAAUUAAUGCUUAGAAUUUAAUUUUGCAAGUAACGGGUUCAUGGGAAAAACGCAUGAAACAGUUGCUAUAAAAAUAUUGAGAAACAUACUACUUCUUUAAUCCCCCUUAUUCACAUAGUGACUUUAAUGCAUUUGAGUGAAGCAAAAAUGACAACAUCACAAAUCUUUGUCCUUAUGACUUUCAUGGUCUUCGCCUUUGCAUCACUAGGUGGGUAUUUUCUUUUAAUUGAAUUAGCAAAAGUUAGUACUAAAUUUAUAAUAUCAAAACUCAUUUAUUUUUCUAAUCAAUGAAAAAAAUUAAUUAUGCCUGUAAAUAUUUUUAAUUUCUACCAAAUUAAUGACAAUACUUGUCAUCAUGUUCUUUAAUUAAACUUAUGAUGCCAAACAUUUUUAAUGAUUAUGAUUAUUCAUUAAAAUUCAGUAUCCAAUGGAUUGUUUAAAACUAUUUAAAAAAAAGUAUUUAGAGGUGUUAGUGGUUUUCUUGUAACUUCUUGAAUUCAUCAAGCGAAAUACAUUUGUGAAUAAAUUGAAAAAUAUGAAGUAAACAAAAGAAUCUUCAUUUUGUUUGAUUUUAAUCAUUUAUGUUAAUGAAUCAUCAACUCUUAAUUUAAAUAUUUGAACUCAUGCAGAGUUGACAGCUGGGCAAUGUUGGCUUUUUGUUCACGAAGAUUGGGGAUCCUGUACAAGUGACGAUGAUUGUCAGGUUCAGUGUAACAAAUAUCAUGACCGUGCAGCUUUUNUGUUAAAGGUCAAUGUGAAGCUCAAAUGAGUGUAUGUAGUUGUCAAGCUUGUUCUUACUAACAAUAUAAUAAUUUAUUAUACUGUUGGUAUAUAAGUUAACCAGUUAAUUACAAUUUGUUAUUACUUUAUUUUCGAUGUUAUUGUAUUUAGAAUGCUUGUUAUAAAAAUUACAUGUUAUCAUAAGUAAACUUAACUUAAUAGUGUGAUAACCAAAGAGAAAAUUUAGAAUAAAAUAUGGUUUUUGUCG
rnacentral:lncRNA from 1 species